rnacentral:lncRNA from 1 species
UACAUUUAUAGGCAUUUAACUUGGUGUUUGUACAUGUAUGUGCUGUCACAAAUGAAAGAUUAUAAAACUUGUCAAUAGGUGCUAUGCUAUUUAUUUGAGCAUGUCAAUAUUUAAUGUGGACAUUGUCAAUUCCUGUACCAAAUAAAGAUUGGGGUAGAAUGGAAGAAUAUCUGGAUGUCAUGAAACAUAAUCUGAAAAAUAGGAUAUUUGAGCAUAAAAAUGAUAGAUUAAACAGAACAACAACCAUGCUAAUAAGAAGGUUUCAUGAAUAUGAUUUAGACAUCAAGUGGAAGGAUGCUAGAGUGGCAGAACUCUAUGAUAGCACAAAGUACAGCUUUGUAAAAGAAACAAUGUACUGUAAAUAAAAAAAAAGAAGUCACUGGAGGAAUGUUAUUAAAUUACAGGUAAAUCUCUGUUUAUGAGAUCCUGAAAUAAGAAAACCCAAUUUUACAAGUAAAUAUAAUUUAUACUGAAAAUUUGAUUUGUAUGCUUUUCUCUGCUUUUAUGAAAUAUUUAUAACAAGCAAAUGUUUUAAAACUGGAUUAAGGCAUACCUUUCUAAUGUGGAGGAAUAUAGCCAGUACAAUAUAAUUAUCUAUCCUCCUGUUAUACACCACAUGCCCUCAUAUAUAUUUCAAAUAGGAAACAAAUCAAUAUCAUAUUCUUAUGAUUGAUACAGAAAGCCAUAUUCACUUUUCUAAUAUAACCAAUCUUGUGAUGGGAUUGAUCAUAAAAUAAUGGAUGGUGGUUCCUAGUUUUAGAGCCAAAUUCAAUCAGAAAAAAAAUUCUGAUACAUAGACUGAAAUUGAAUCUAGAUUCUCUAACUUGUAAACACUUUUUAUAAUGUGGCUAUCCAGUAGAUAAAUGAUGAUCAUUUUCUAUGAAAAUUACAAAAUGGUAGUGUCAUUAAACUCAAAUUCUUUUAUGUUUUCUUUAUUUUUUGAUGAAGCAUGCAAUACAAGUAAUCCUUGACUAAUGGGGCUUGUUCAAAUUCUGCUGCUAUAAGUUGGAUUUGGUCAGAAAGCAGAAAUAUUCAAAAUUUAUGAAUUUCUCACUAAUGAUGUUUACUAGGGCACUCUA